rnacentral:miRNA from 1 species
UGAGGCAGGAGAAUUGCUUGAACCCAGGAGGUGGAGGUUGCAGUGAGCUGAGAUCGAGCCACUGCACUCCAGCCUGGUUGACAGAGUGAGACUCCAUCUC